AGUUUUUGUUCUUUAGUCUUUACUCCCUAACAUAAUUUCAGUGGUAAAUCAUUUAUAAAAGAAAUAAGUUCUAAAACAAAUUGCAAUAAUAUGACUUUUUUUAGCCUAGAUUAACAGAAAAAGAACUCUAUUACUAAAACCCAACAAAGAUUUUGCAGAAGUGCCCAACAAAUAACGAAUGCACUGAAAUAUUUACAAAAAUGCUAAAACCCAAUUUGCUCAAAAGGAUGAGACAACAAACAAGAUUCUUGUAACUAAUCACAAUUUUGUAAUGCUGGAUACACAU
rnacentral:misc_RNA from 1 species